UACAACAGUUAUAAUCUACUCGAAAUAGAAAUCCUAAACGGAUAUCUGCGAUAAUUUUGGAGCUAAUACGUGCACCAAGACUCGAUUCUCUGAAUCGAGUGCACUUAUUAGAUGAAGACCAAUCGGGGCAACCCGACAUGGUGACUCUGAAUAAUUUCGCUGAUCGCAUGGUCUCGUACCGGCGACGUAUCGUUCGAGUAUCUGCCUUAUCAACUUUCGAUGGAAGUCCAUGUGACUGCCAUGGUUGUGACGGGUAACGGAGAAUCAGGGUUCGACUCCGGAGAGGGAGCCUGAGAAACGGCUACCACAUCCAAGGAAGGCAGCAGGCGCGCAAAUUACCCACUCUCAAUUCGAGGAGGUAGUGACUAUCAAUAACGAGACAGAUCUCUUUGAGGCCUGUUAUCGGAAUGGGUACAAUUUAAACCCUUUAACGAGGAUCUAUGAGAGGGCAAGUCUGGUGCCAGCAGCCGCGGUAAUUCCAGCUCUCAAAGUGUAUAUCGUCAUUGCUGCGGUUAAAAAGCUCGUAGUUGGAUCUGAGUCUUUGAACGCGGUACUCCCUGUGAGUAACUGCGCUUCUAGACUGUGUUGUCGGUUUUCCUCGGUUUGCCUUCACCGGUAGGCCUUGGUGGCUGGCGUGUUUACCUUGAAUAAAUUAGAGUGCUCAAGACAAGCGUCUCGCUUGAAUAUCCGUGCAUGGAAUAAUGGAACAGGACUUCGGUUCAUUCUGUUGGUCUUGGAACCGAUGUAAUGGUUAAGAGGGAUUGACGGGGGCAUCCGUAUCGCUGCGUGAGAGGUGAAAUUCUUGGACCGCAGCGGGACGUCCAACUGCGAAAGCAUUUGCCAAGAAUGUCUUCAUUAA
rnacentral:rRNA from 1 species